rnacentral:tRNA from 1 species
CAGCUCAGCGGGUGAGCACCCGCUUCACAAGCGAUAGGUCGGUGGUUCGAACCCACCAAGG